rnacentral:rRNA from 1 species
UACGUAGGGUGCGAGCGUUAUUCGGAAUUACUGGGCGUAAAGAGCUCGUAGGUGGUUUGUCGCGUUGUUCGUGAAAACUCACAGCUCAACUGUGGGCGUGCGGGCGAUACGGGCAGACUGGAGUACUGCAGGGGAGACUGGAAUUCCUGGUGUAGCGGUGGAAUGCGCAGAUAUCAGGAGGAACACCGGUGGCGAAGGCGGGUCUCUGGGCAGUAACUGACGCUGAGGAGCGAAGGCGUGGGGAGCGAACAGG